UAGGGAAUCUUCCGCAAUGGGCGCAAGCCUGACGGAGCAACGCCGCGUGAGUGAUGAAGGCCUUCGGGUUGUAAAACUCUGUCUUCUGUGAAGAACCAUCCUGUGCAGAGAAAGCUCAGGACCUGACGGUAACAGAGGAGGAAGCCCCGGCUAACUACGUGCCAGCAGCCGCGGUAAUACGUAGGGGGCAAGCGUUGUCCGGAUUCACUGGGCGUAAAGCGCGCGCAGGCGGUCUCUCACGUCCGGGGUGAAAGCCCAGAGCUCAACUCUGGGAUUGCCUUGGAUACGGGGAGACUUGAGGAUCGGAGAGGCAAGGGGAAUUCCACGUGUAGCGGUGAAAUGCGUAGAGAUGUGGAGGAACACCUGUGGCGAAGGCGCCUUGCUGGCCGAUUUCUGACGCUGAGGCGCGAAAGCGUGGGGAGCAAACA
rnacentral:rRNA from 1 species